CCUACGGGCUGCAUCAGUGAGGAAUAUUGGUCAAUGGGCGCGAGCCUGAACCAGCCAAGUAGCGUGAAGGAUGACUGCCCUACGGGUUGUAAACUUCUUUUAUAAAGGAAUAAAGUGAGGCACGUGUGCCUUUCUGUAUGUACUUUAUGAAUAAGGAUCGGCUAACUCCGUGCCAGCAGCCGCGGUAAUACGGAGGAUCCGAUCGUUAUCCGGAUUUAUUUGGUUUAAAGGGAGCGUAGAUGGGGUGUUAAGUCCGUUGUUAAAGUUUGCGGCUCAACCGUAAAAUUGCAAUUGAUACUGGCAGUCUUGAGUAGAGUUGAGGUAGGCGGAAUUCGUGGUGUAGCGGUGAAAUGCUUAGAUAUCGCGAAGAACCCCGAUUGCGAAGGCAGCUUACUAAACUGUGACUGACAUUGAUGCUCGAAAGUGUGGGUAUCAAACAGGAUUAGAUACCCCAGUAGUC
rnacentral:rRNA from 1 species